UUCAUUCUUGUCUGCUACUAAUGGUGGGGAUUUCGAUAGGCAUCAAAAUCCCCUCGUGGACAAGAUUGAGCUCAAUUGAAAAAUAAUAAAUGUUGUGCACGACAUUCUAAGCAUAUGAAGAUAGUCGAUGAGAUACAAGAAUGAAAUGCUUCCAAAAUAACUAAUUUCGUGAUCCUAGACAUUCCAUGACCCACGAAAUUCCUGUUAUUUGGUCUCCCCAAUUUCUUCUCUGGGCCUGUCAUCUCUAGAGAUGAGAAGAUGAACCAAGCCAGCUGGCUUGGUCUGGGACUUCCCCGAAAUACAACAUCAACUUUAUUCAAUGUUGAAAUGAAAUUACUGUGUCUUUGAUACAAAAAAAUGAGUGGGCCAAAUGUAUCCCUGAAGAGAUAUUGAUCACUGAUGAAGAUGGUAAGAUGGUAAAGAGAAAAAAUUAGUCCAAUGGAUUUUGUCUUCCUCAAAGUUCCACCAGAAUAAUGUUGCAUCAAGAAUCGAACUGCAUCGAGCAGAGCCAGAAAAUUCUGGCGCCUUGUGUCCGGUCAACCGUCGAGUAACUAACUAUCCGCCAGUAUCAUUUCCUAUGAAUUUGGUUGAAGGUCACGAGAAACAUUACGU